ACAUGGAUACAACAUAACAUUAAUUCAACGAAUCCCAUUAGAACUAUGCAGUCAAGUGUGCUCGGGAUAGAGUAUCACUGGGAUGGGUGAAUGCCUGGGAAUUCCUAAUGUGUUACAUGCC
rnacentral:rRNA from 1 species